GAGAGACUAUGCAAGCAACGGACUUUUUGGUCGGCGAUUGAAUGAAUGCCACGCGAGUUAGUCAGCGUCGCGGUGCUAAAUUCGGCGGACGCCUGGCGUCGCUCCAGAAGAACCACCCAGCGCACCAACCUGCUUCUAUCCUAAUGAUUCGAAGAACAGGUGUCUCGGGAACGCUAUUGCAAUCGCGGUACUAUCGACGUUGGACCUAAAAAUAAAGUCACGAGUGUCGAGCAUCUCGAUUGACGCAACUAUGAAACUUGCCAACCUUUUCUCAGCGAUGGAUUGUCAGUAUCCGAGGCUUCUAUGUGUCAUCAGAUACGCGUAAAGAGUAAUUUACUUCGUGGUUUCUACAUUAAUAAACCGACGGAUAGAUGGGACGCAUCCUACAGGUGCCUGAACGCAGUUUCGAUGGAACGUGUCGCGUAAAACGCGUAUUUUCGGCGUACUUGGAGAAGCUCCAGGUGCGGAGGAGGAAGUACGUGUAAACCGAAGAAAACAGAGAAACUGGAUGGAUGGCGAGACCACUUUCUUCUUCAAUAACUCCUCAAUGGUUAUCUAAGUUCUCUUGCCGAAGAAGAGGAAGAUCUUUCUUUUUUGCUCAGAAAUUCGAGGAGAGAUUUUUUUACUCGAUAAGGAAGACAGAGUCAUUAAACGUAAUCCUAUUUCAUAGGAUCAUUCUAAAAAAAAAAAAGAAAAAAAAGUAAAUGUUUCGGUGAGUGUAUCGGAUAUCGUUCCGAAAAUUAUCCGGAAACGCCUGGUACCUCUUAUAAAUCAGGAUCGGUACAUUCCCUCUUUCCACGAUCAUGUCGUUUAGCGAGAAGUUUUCUGGUGGGAAAAAAAGGGAAAAGCACGCGAUUGCUAUUUAAAAGGCUCGUAGGUGGGUGGCUUUUUAGCCGAGGUAUAUACCGACGUAGGGAGAGGGCUUCGACUUCGCUCUUCGGCCUCGGUAUGGGGUUGCCGUGCUAUUUUCAGGCCGGUGGCUCGAUGCAGCUGUCGUGUUCUUCGGGUAAACCACCUCUCUUCUAUUCCAUGGUCACUCGCGGGACAAGGUAGAAUGUACAGAUUGGAAUUCUAAAUUCACGAUUCGCAAAUUCGUAAAGGAUGACGCACUUUCGCUAACACUCACCGAAAUUAGACGAUCAUAAUAAAAGAAACAUAGGAUCACUAUUAGAAUUUCGAAUCCUUUUACUUAUUCUUGAAAUCUAUUUCUUUUUUAUCUAUUCUUCUUUUGCAUAAUCACCUUCAUUUGUUCAUUGUUUUUCUCUUUUCGGUAUUUUUGAUAUUUUCCAUUCUUUAUAAUUAACUUCUCUCUUUUGGGUUCUAGAGGGCGCAUUUUAAGUUUGUAUUAAUCACAAUCUCUUUUAAUUUUCUUGAAGAAGAAUUUUCUUCAAAUAAUAAAUGAAUAUAUUAUAUUUUUGUAGGAAAUAGUAACAAAAAAAAAACGAUAAGAAAAAGAAAGAUAGAAAGUAUAAAAAAAGAUAGAAUAGUAGAACUAUUUAAGUGAUUGCCUCCAGCAAAGCUACGAAAAGAAGAAGUGCGUGCUGGAGAAUGGAAGACAUGGAUGAAGAAGAUGACAAGAUUCGAAGAUCUUGGCAACGAGCCAGAAGAGAUUUUCAGUCGUCUACGUAUUUCCAACUUUCAUCUUCUAGCCGUCCUCUAGAACCUAGGGUGCAAUGACACCAGGUUUUAGAUGACAAUUUUCUAUUUACAUAGGUUCUUCCAUUGGCUCGCGUACAGACCACGUGCCACACGUGAUCCUCCCUAGUUGAUUCCCUUUCUUCUAUUGCCAUCGUCCAGACAUCUUUAAAGAGGAGAUGAAAAAAAUUAAGGGGACGGAAGAAGAGGAAGUGGACUAGACGAUGAGGGAGCUGAGAUCGUAGUAUUAAACAGUACACUGGUGGAUUCAUGGAAUUUCGUGAAACCCUGUUUUUUAAAUCGGUAUAAUAAAAUAAUAAAUUACUUAAUAAAAAUUAAUAAAUAAUUAUACAUCAUAUUUUUUGAAGAAAAAAUUGAUAUAUUAGCUUGAUAAAUAUGUUAUAGAAAGAAGAAAGAUGAAAAAAGUAAGAAAGAAUAUGUACCUGUGUUAACCUGUAUUCAUAUUGUAAUAAGAUUAUUGAUAUGUUGAUAUUUUUAAAAGCCUAGUGAUUAUCCACAUAUUCGUUCAUGGAAAAGCUGUAGGAGGGGUUAAAGGACAGGAGGGUCGCAGACACCGAGUCACCAGCGGCAACGGGCACGCGACCGACACGCGCCCUUCUUCCGUCUCUUUUCUUCCCAUCUUACCCUUUUUCUACGCUUCUUUUUCCACAGCAGCUUCCCUUUGCCCGCACAUGUAUUCAUCUCUUAUACGUGAUCAUCUUGAGUUUACGUGCGCGUGGGAUGAAAGACUGGUGGUCUGCCACAUGAUUUAAGAUAGCAUAAUUUAGAAAUUAGUCAAGAAAUGUUAAUUGUUUCUGAUAUAUAAGAUAAUCAUAAAUAUAAUCAUGAGAGGCCCAUUGAAGAAUCCAGGCACAAGAAGGUUGUACAUGAAUGCUCGUACAACGACUUUAUCUUGACUGCAACCUUAUCUUUAAGUAGUUUGAUAGCGAUGAAUGUCUACUACGGGUAACAUUAGAAAGCGCUUACUGAAAGAGCUUUGCUUUAAUGAAAUAAUAAAGAUCAUUUAAGGAAAUUUAAUCAAGCUAUACUAAUUUGUUUAAAAAUUAUUAUAUGUCAAUUCCGAAAAAAUAAUUAAGGUCGAUGAAGACGAAAAUGCAAUCUGUCGUCGUAACGAGGGAAAUCGGACAUCUCUAAGUAUAGCUCGUAUUUGCAUGCAGAUCAGGGACGGAUUGUAUUAGGUUGCCAAGCUAUUACAACGUUCAAUCUAUAAAGUUUGUAAUACUAAAAUUUUUAAUCUAUUUUUUUCAUCUUACUAUAAUGUUUUUAUAAACGAUAUAGUAUCGUUGUUAUCAUGUUAUAAUCUUUUUACCCAAUCUAAAAGCAUAAACAUAAAUAUU